AAAACAAUCAAGGCCCCAGGUCAUCUUUUACUUCCAGGAGGAGAUGCUGGGUAAGGAAGAGGCUUGUAGGACCAAACCUCCCUCUCAGCUGACCAGAACCUUGCUGUGAUGCUGAAAAAUGAACUUCAACAAAAGUGCUGAAAUUUAAAGAUGGAAACAGGUGAAGAAGGAGGGUCUGAUUACAUAGCUGAUAAAUAAAGGGAAUGAAUUAACUGGGAUUGUCUUUUAUUUCAUUAUUUAAUAAUUGUAAAUAUUUAU